rnacentral:rRNA from 1 species
AGUCGAGCGGACAGAUGGGAGCUUGCUCCCUGAUGUUAGCGGCGGACGGGUGAGUAACACGUGGGUAACCUGCCUGUAAGACUGGGAUAACUCCGGGAAACCGGGGCUAAUACCGGAUGGUUGUUUGAACCGCAUGGCUUCAAACAUAAAAGGUGGCUUCGGCUACCACUUACAGAUGGACCCGCGGCGCAUUAGCUAGUUGGUGAGGUAACGGCUCACCAAGGCAACGAUGCGUAGCCGACCUGAGAGGGUGAUCGGCCACACUGGGACUGAGACACGGCCCAGACUCCUACGGGAGGCAGCAGUAGGGAAUCUUCCGCAAUGGACGAAAGUCUGACGGAGCAUCGCCGCGUGAGUGAUGAAGGUUUUCGGAUCGUAAAGCUCUGUUGUUAGGGAAGAACAAGUACCGUUCGAAUAGGGCGGUACCUUGACGGUACCUAACCAGAAAGCCACGGCUAACUACGUGCCAGCAGCCGCGGUAAUACGUAGGUGGCAAGCGUUGUCCGGAAUUAUUGGGCGUAAAGGGCUCGCAGGCGGUUUCUUAAUUCUGAUGUGAAAGCCCCCCGGCUCACACCCGGGAGGGUCAUUGGAAACUGGGG